GGGGGCGACAUGGCUUCGACGGGGGUAGCAAAAGCAGGAGCUGCGAGUCCAGGACCAUGGCCUGGUUAAAACAUGGAAGGCUAUAAACGCCAACGAUAAUCAAGUUCUCGCUGCUGCUUAAUUAACCAGUGGCGCAUCUGCCCUUUCCUUGCCUGUGGGAUUGGAUCGCAGGUGUCAUAAAUACAGGCUACCCGGUGCCGGUUCGCUCUGCCCAAGCACUAGGGGAACUAUAAUAGAGCUAGCACCACUGGUAUCCGGUCUUGAGGAAACCGUGGUGUGAAAGCGAAGUCAAGACUACGCUCGUAGACGCUCUUGAUUUUAUACCUUCGGACGCGGGUUCGACUCCCGCCGCCUCCACCA
rnacentral:tmRNA from 1 species